GCCAGGAUGGCUUAGUGGUUUGAGCAUUGGACUAUGAUUCUGGAGAACAGAGUUCAAAUUCUCACUCAGCCUUGGAA